UAAAGAUCCAUCUUUUGGUUAUUUUCUAACUUUUUUCUCAUUGGUCAGUUUUUUAAUACAAAGAUAACAACUCUUGACCAUUGAUUAUGUUUGAUCCAAUGGUCUAAAAUUAUUUUUUUGCUUCUUCACUUUCUCUCUUCUCUGUGACGCCUCCUUCUCCUCCUCUCUUUCUUUUGCGAGUUCCUCAUAGUCCCAGAUCUUCAUCUCUCUCACUUUCUGUAUUGUAAACGAGAGAGAUUCUUACAUCGUCAUGCAUCUAUUAUGCUUCAGUAUAUUUGGUUUGUAAAUCUAAGAUGUGAGAGAAGAAAAAUGGUCAGAGAAGAAGAAGAUUCGUUGGUCAGAGAAGAAAAGAAGAUUCGUCGGAGAAGACUGGUUUUAAGCACACCAUCGUCACCUGGCGCCGUCGUCACGGAUCUUAACCUCGUCGCGUCAGCCAACUAUACUCGCCGCCGUCAUCCUUCUAGCCACUUCUCAGAUCCGUAUUCGCCGGUCUCUCUCUUCACCGUACCACCACCACUGCUCGUCACCACACUGGAAGGUGGACAAGGCAGAUGAGCUUGAUGGAGGAGGAGGUAGCAGAACCAUUGUGUGACUGGAAUACAGUGACGUGAAGCUCGCGUGGUGACGCGGAUGGUGGCGGCGACGAAUGGAAGAGGACAACAAGGACCUCACGGCAGCUCUUGUGAUGUGGAAGACAUGGUGGUUUAGUUAGGUUUAGAUGUUGUUGACGAUGGCGGCUAGCAUUUUUUCUUCUACGUUUUAGAUUAGGAUUGGUUUAGAUAUAAACCGGUUUUAGUUUAAACCAAUAUUAUUUUGUAAACCAAUUUUAUUAUAAAUCAAAUUUAUUGUUAAUUUGUUUA